rnacentral:misc_RNA from 1 species
GGUUUGUGAAGUUCCAGAUGCCCCUUAAGUUACGCUUUGCCAUCUCGAUCGAAAUGGGCAGAAGCUCAUCCAGGAUGGUCAUGCUGUUUGGGAUGUUAACCACCUUAUUGUAGCGGGAAAUCUUGGUAAUGAAGUUGCGUGGGUUGUUCAAGUCAGAUGAUAUCGGCAUCCGAACUCGAAGGGUGCAGACGUUAUCAUAUUCUUUC